rnacentral:lncRNA from 1 species
CGCGGCGGUACCUGCUCUCGCCGCCCUUCCCGGACCCCGGAUCCCAGCGCUCGGGCCCCCGAAGGCCGACGCGCACCCCACGCCCACCGGACCCCCGCCAUGCGCGGCCUCGGGCUCCUGCUGUUCGCCGCGCUGGGGCUGCAGGGGGUCACCCCCGGGGCCGCCCUGCCCCACGUGGAGCAGUACGAGGUGGUGACGCCCCGGCGCCUGGGUGUACCCCGUGCUCGGCGGGCUCUGCCCUCCCGCCUGGGCCUGUACCCAGAGAGUGUCAGCUACGUCCUGGGGGCCCGAGGGCACACCUUCACCCUGCACCUUCGGAAGAACAGGGACCUGGUGGGCUCCGGCUACGCAGAGACCUACACGGCCACCAACGGCUCCCAGGUGACAGAGAAGCUGCAGAGGCAGGACCACUGCUUCUACCAGGGCCGCGUCGAGGGGCACCCGCGCUCGGCCGCCAGCCUCAGCACCUGCGCCGGCCUCAGGGGCUUCUUCCAGGCGGGCCCCGCCGUCCACCUGAUCGAGCCCCUGGCGGGGGCAGGGGAGGAAGGCCCGCACGCCCUGUACCUGGCGCAGCACCUGCAGCAGGAGGCUGGCACCUGCGGCGUCGAUGACCGCAGCCUGGACAGAGUCCUGGGGCCGCGGGUGUCUGCAGCCCUCAGACCGCGGUGGUCAGAACCCAGAGAGACCCGCUACGUGGAGCUGUUCGUGGUCACGGACAGCACGGAGUUCCAGCGGUUUGGGAGCAGAGAGGCCAUGCGUCAGCGGGUGCUGGAGGUGGUCAACCACGUGGACAAGCUCUAUCAGGAGCUCAAUUUCCGCGUGGUGCUCGUGGGCCUGGAGAUGUGGAAUGGUGGGGACAAGAUUCAGGUCAGCUCCCAGCCCGACGCCACCCUGGACGACUUCCUGGCCUGGCGGACUCGCGAGCUGGUGGGCCGGCAGGCGCACGACAACGUGCAGCUCAUCACCGGAGUCGACUUCACCGGGACCACCGUGGGACUGGCCAAGGUGUCCGCCAUGUGCUCCCAGAACUCAGGGGCUGUAAACCAGGACCACAGCCUGAAUCCCAUCGGCGUGGCGAGCACCAUGGCCCAUGAGAUGGGCCACAACCUGGGCAUGGACCAUGACGAGAACGUCGCCAGCUGCUACUGCCCGGUGCCACGGGAGGGUGGCGGCUGUGUGAUGGCGGCCAGCAUCGGCUCCCAGUACCCCAGGAAGUUCAGUCACUGUAGCCGGGCCGACUUGGAGACGUUCCUGGAGAAGCGACGCACAGCCUGCCUGGUGGACACCCCAGACCUUGACCGGCUGGUGGGCGGCCCUGUGUGCGGAAACGGGUUCCUGGAGCGUGGGGAGCAGUGUGACUGUGGCCGCCCUGAGGACUGUCAGAACCGCUGCUGCAACGCCAGCACCUGCCUGCUGGCCGAGGGGGCCGAGUGUGCCCACGGCGCCUGCUGCCACGAGUGCAGGGUGAAGCCGGCUGGAGAGCUGUGCCGCCCCGCGAAGGACCAGUGUGACCUUGAUGAGCACUGUGAUGGCCGGCGGCCCGCGUGCCCUGAGGAUGCCUUCCGGGAGAACGGCACACCCUGCCCAGGGGGCUACUGCUACAACGGGGCCUGCCCGACACCGGCCCAGCGCUGCCAGGACUUGUGGGGGCCAGGCUCGCGGGUGGCAGUGGAGACUUGCUUCCGCUACAGCAUCUCCGAAGGCUGCGGGGCUGGGGUCCCCUUGCAGUCCGGCAGGGUCAACAAGUGCGGCACUCUCUUCUGCGAGGGGGGACAGGACCCCCCGGAAGGCCGACACUGCAUCCUCACCACCCCCUCAGGCACUUGCCGAGCUGUCGUCCAGGAUGGCAGCACUGCGUAUGAGCCGGUGCCCAAGGGCACCAAGUGUGGCGAGGAGCAGGUUUGCUGGGACGGCUUCUGCCGGGGCCUCCACGUGUACAGAUCCAGGAACUGCUCCGCCCGGUGCAACAGCCACGGGGAGUGCGACCACAAGGACCGGUGCCACUGCUUCCCGGGCUGGGCCCCGCCCCGCUGUGCAGAGCCGCUGUCCGACCUGCAUGCAGCUCCUGGGAGCCUCCGAACACGUGUGCUGGUGGGUGUGGGCGCCCUGGUGCUGCUGGUGCUGAUCCUGGCGGGCGUGCUCAUCUACCGCAGGGCCCGGAGCCCGGUCCGAAGGAGGAAUGUGGCACCCAAGACGGCCAUGGGGCUCUCCAACCCGCUGUUCCAUGAAGGGCUCAGCAAGCCUGCGAAAGGCAGGGCUCAGGCUCCCCCCGGGGCCUCCCCAGAGCCGGCCCCGCCCGCCCAGCCCCCCAAGCCCACAGCUUCCUCGGUGACCCCUAAGCGACCGCCCCCUGCUGUAAGCGCCAGCCAUCCCAACAGACUCCAGGCCACCCCCAAAUCUCAGGUUCACGAGGCUCAGAGUGGCCCCCAUGACUCCCGUUUGGAGGCAAAACCAGGCUCUAGGACAAGGGGUCUGAAGAGCCGCCUGAGCCGGGGGCGCGGAACCGAGCCUGAGGCUCAGAGCCUCCGCACCGGCGGUCCCAGGGUGGUCGGGAGGCGCCCCAGGAGGAGGCGCAGAGGCUGCCAGCACCUCCCUGUGACCCCAGGGCUGGGGGAGGGGCCAGAACCUUGGGUCCUCAGCGGGUGGGGGGCAGCUCUGAGCCAGGCCUCUCUGGUGCGGUUGCCCUGGGAGACCCAGGCUCACGCCCGUUCCCUUCAGCCUCCAGGCUCCCUUCAGCCUCCAGCCGCCACGGCCAGACCACCGUCCCCGCUUCCUGUGUACCCCCAGCAGGCCCCGGGCCAGCAGCUCAGACCUGCUCCUCCCGCCAAGCCCCUUCCGGUGCUGAAGCCAAAGCAGGUCAUCAAGCCGACCUGUGCUCCCCCAUUGCCACCCGUCAAGCCUGGAGCUAGAGGGGCCCAGCCUGGACCCACUCAGGUGAGGCCCUCACUGCCAGAUCAGGGCCCACCGGGUGGGGCAGAGCUUGCUCACUUCCCCCACUAGAGGCCAUAACCUCUGCUCUGUACUCUGUCAAAGGGCUUUUCAAUGCUUACUGCUUCUUCUGGCUGCUAACGUCUUUUUCUGCACGUUAGCGUAGCACGUGUAAGCACGGAAGUCUCCUGCUUCUGGAUGGAGAACAGACUUCUUGAUAAAGCAUCAGCUGUUAAUAUCCAGGGCUGUUGCCACUCUGAGCAGUCACGGUUUUGGAUGAAAUGAGGAUCCAAAUUUUGAGAAAAGUGAAAGGAAGUUAAUUCAGUUGUGCUCUUGGUAGCAGAUGGCCUUUACUAUGUUUUUUUCCCUCCCCAAGGAAGCUGUUGACCCGAAGGUUGCUCUGAAACCCCCUGUCCAGAGGAGGUGAUGGGGCAAAGCACCCUGAGGGGCAUCCGUGCACCUGUCUGGAUGUUGCCUGCGGUCUGUGACCUCACCAGCAGCAGCAGCAGAUGCAGCCGCCUGGCCCCAGGCCCUCCACUCCGUCAGGGCCUGAGGACUGUCUGAGCUGUCCUAAAGGAAGCGCUAGCUCUUCUGUGUCUCAAGGUCACAGCCUAGGGCCUCUGGACCGGGACUCCCUGGCUGGGCCGUCAGCUGCUGUCCUGACCUGGGGAAGGAGGCGGGGGGAGGCCAGCCCCUCCUCAACCACGUGUGUCUUCAGACGGCCACUGGUGUCUUAUCUGGGUUCCUGAAAACGGCGCACGUUCAGCAGGGAUCAAAAAUUUAAUAAAAUGUUUACAUUUUACGAUUAAGUUAUUGAU